rnacentral:lncRNA from 1 species
CACCAUCGAAAGGUACAGAACACCCAUGUAUUAAACAUAUGCCAAGAGGGCCAAAUACUUUAAUUUCACAAACAAUGACCACACAACUAUUCAUGCAGCAGUACCAAAAAAACCCAGAAACACUCCUCCUGCAAGAACUCGGAAGUAUUUCGAUUGUAAGUUACCCAAUAUUUUCUACAUAUUGAAUCAUAAAUAUAACAUCAAACAAUGUUUCCUAACUACUAUCUAACCCUCUUAAUGUGUACUAACAAAUAGGUGGUUGUGAGAGGUGCUCUAAAUAUGGUACUAGCACAAUUACUGAUUUAUACUCUGUUAUACACCCACCCAAUUCCACUACUCAUGACUACGAAAGGAAUAACAUUAAAACUUCAUUUUC